rnacentral:rRNA from 1 species
UUAAGCGACUAAGCGUACACGGUGGAUGCCCUGGCAGUCAGAGGCGAUGAAGGACGUGCUAAUCUGCGAUAAGCGUCGGUAAGGUGAUAUGAACCGUUAUAACCGGCGAUUUCCGAAUGGGGAAACCCAGUGUGUUUCGACACACUAUCAUUAACUGAAUCCAUAGGUUAAUGAGGCGAACCGGGGGAACUGAAACAUCUAAGUACCCCGAGGAAAAGAAAUCAACCGAGAUUCCCCCAGUAGCGGCGAGCGAACGGGGAGGAGCCCAGAGCCUGAAUCAGUAUGUGUGUUAGUGGAAGCGUCUGGAAAGGCGCGCGAUACAGGGUGACAGCCCCGUACACAAAAAUGCACAUGCUGUGAGCUCGAUGAGUAGGGCGGGACACGUGGUAUCCUGUCUGAAUAUGGGGGGACCAUCCUCCAAGGCUAAAUACUCCUGACUGACCGAUAGUGAACCAGUACCGUGAGGGAAAGGCGAAAAGAACCCCGGCGAGGGGAGUGAAAAAGAACCUGAAACCGUGUACGUACAAGCAGUGGGAGCACGCUUAGGCGUGUGACUGCGUACCUUUUGUAUAAUGGGUCAGCGACUUAUAUUCUGUAGCAAGGUUAACCGAAUAGGGGAGCCGAAGGGAAACCGAGUCUUAACUGGGCGUUAAGUUGCAGGGUAUAGACCCGAAACCCGGUGAUCUAGCCAUGGGCAGGUUGAAGGUUGGGUAACACUAACUGGAGGACCGAACCGACUAAUGUUGAAAAAUUAGCGGAUGACUUGUGGCUGGGGGUGAAAGGCCAAUCAAACCGGGAGAUAGCUGGUUCUCCCCGAAAGCUAUUUAGGUAGCGCCUCGUGAAUUCAUCUCCGGGGGUAGAGCACUGUUUCGGCAAGGGGGUCAUCCCGACUUACCAACCCGAUGCAAACUGCGAAUACCGGAGAAUGUUAUCACGGGAGACACACGGCGGGUGCUAACGUCCGUCGUGAAGAGGGAAACAACCCAGACCGCCAGCUAAGGUCCCAAAGUCAUGGUUAAGUGGGAAACGAUGUGGGAAGGCCCAGACAGCCAGGAUGUUGGCUUAGAAGCAGCCAUCAUUUAAAGAAAGCGUAAUAGCUCACUGGUCGAGUCGGCCUGCGCGGAAGAUGUAACGGGGCUAAACCAUGCACCGAAGCUGCGGCAGCGACGCUGAUGCGUUGUUGGGUAGGGGAGCGUUCUGUAAGCCUGUGAAGGUGUGCUGUGAGGCAUGCUGGAGGUAUCAGAAGUGCGAAUGCUGACAUAAGUAACGAUAAAGCGGGUGAAAAGCCCGCUCGCCGGAAGACCAAGGGUUCCUGUCCAACGUUAAUCGGGGCAGGGUGAGUCGACCCCUAAGGCGAGGCCGAAAGGCGUAGUCGAUGGGAAACAGGUUAAUAUUCCUGUACUUGGUGUUACUGCGAAGGGGGGACGGAGAAGGCUAUGUUGGCCGGGCGACGGUUGUCCCGGUUUAAGCGUGUAGGCUGGUUUUCCAGGCAAAUCCGGAAAAUCAAGGCUGAGGCGUGAUGACGAGGCACUACGGUGCUGAAGCAACAAAUGCCCUGCUUCCAGGAAAAGCCUCUAAGCAUCAGGUAACAUCAAAUCGUACCCCAAACCGACACAGGUGGUCAGGUAGAGAAUACCAAGGCGCUUGAGAGAACUCGGGUGAAGGAACUAGGCAAAAUGGUGCCGUAACUUCGGGAGAAGGCACGCUGAUAUGUAGGUGAAGUCCCUCGCGGAUGGAGCUGAAAUCAGUCGAAGAUACCAGCUGGCUGCAACUGUUUAUUAAAAACACAGCACUGUGCAAACACGAAAGUGGACGUAUACGGUGUGACGCCUGCCCGGUGCCGGAAGGUUAAUUGAUGGGGUCAGCGCAAGCGAAGCUCUUGAUCGAAGCCCCGGUAAACGGCGGCCGUAACUAUAACGGUCCUAAGGUAGCGAAAUUCCUUGUCGGGUAAGUUCCGACCUGCACGAAUGGCGUAAUGAUGGCCAGGCUGUCUCCACCCGAGACUCAGUGAAAUUGAACUCGCUGUGAAGAUGCAGUGUACCCGCGGCAAGACGGAAAGACCCCGUGAACCUUUACUAUAGCUUGACACUGAACAUUGAGCCUUGAUGUGUAGGAUAGGUGGGAGGCUUUGAAGUGUGGACGCCAGUCUGCAUGGAGCCGACCUUGAAAUACCACCCUUUAAUGUUUGAUGUUCUAACGUUGACCCGUAAUCCGGGUUGCGGACAGUGUCUGGUGGGUAGUUUGACUGGGGCGGUCUCCUCCUAAAGAGUAACGGAGGAGCACGAAGGUUGGCUAAUCCUGGUCGGACAUCAGGAGGUUAGUGCAAUGGCAUAAGCCAGCUUGACUGCGAGCGUGACGGCGCGAGCAGGUGCGAAAGCAGGUCAUAGUGAUCCGGUGGUUCUGAAUGGAAGGGCCAUCGCUCAACGGAUAAAAGGUACUCCGGGGAUAACAGGCUGAUACCGCCCAAGAGUUCAUAUCGACGGCGGUGUUUGGCACCUCGAUGUCGGCUCAUCACAUCCUGGGGCUGAAGUAGGUCCCAAGGGUAUGGCUGUUCGCCAUUUAAAGUGGUACGCGAGCUGGGUUUAGAACGUCGUGAGACAGUUCGGUCCCUAUCUGCCGUGGGCGCUGGAGAACUGAGGGGGGCUGCUCCUAGUACGAGAGGACCGGAGUGGACGCAUCACUGGUGUUCGGGUUGUCAUGCCAAUGGCACUGCCCGGUAGCUAAAUGCGGAAGAGAUAAGUGCUGAAAGCAUCUAAGCACGAAACUUGCCCCGAGAUGAGUUCUCCCUGACUCCUUGAGAGUCCUGAAGGAACGUUGAAGACGACGACGUUGAUAGGCCGGAUGUGUAAGCGCAGCGAUGCGUUGAGCUAACCGGUACUAAUGAACCGUGAGGCUUAACCUU